AUCCUGGACUGGUUUAGCAUCUCAUCCUAGCACACUCACCUGCAAAGCUAUGCUGAUGAAAGCGGUAUCUGCUAGCCACAUGUACCCAUGAAUACUGGGAAUGUGCAUACUGCAGGUAUAUACCUAAGAGUGGGAUUGCCAAGGGUUUUGGAGAGACCUGUCAAUGGCCAGGCACCACUUCUACCAGAUUUGAAUUACUUCAUUGGACCACUCAUUACUGUUGCAUUGGAUCAUUUCCCAGAUGGAGCACUCCUUGCCUUUGGGAGCACAGCUUUGCGACACAGGAGUUGGCCUCAGAGUUAGAGGAGAACUCCAAAAUGCAGGUUUGAGUAAUAACAGAUGAUCCAUGUCUAAGCCACCAUUGAGAGAAGCUGUGUCUAGGAGAAUUUCCUUAUUCUAUGAAGAUGAUGUUGAAAUACUGAGGACAGAAGUGGCCUCCUGUCUGUGAUUUACUUCAAAGUACAGCAGCAAAAUAAAAUAGAUUAUGCAGAUAUGGCAACCUGCUCACAAUUGUUAAAUGUAAAUAAUGGAUAUCUGGCCAUUUCAAUCACCUCACUUUUCUAUAAUAAAAAGCAAAGGUUGCUUAAUAAGAUCCAAAAAUUGAAGGGCAGUUGAGUAGGUCAGGGAAGCAGCAGAAAAGAUAAGCUCCUUUCUCUGUCCUUCCCUAUGGCACUAUUCAGCCUGAUGUCUAAAUAAAUAUUGGACAAAUAUUCAGGGAAAUAUUUUAGAGAUAUUGAAUGAUGUACUUACCUGGGAGUUAGGGCUGUGCAGGAAUUCUUCACAUAUUGCUACAUCAACCACCGGCAGAGGUAAGAAGUACAGAAGACCUAUGAAGUAAAAAAGAUGAGAGGACAUUUACCCAUUUGGUGAAAAAGAACUUCCCCUAUAGUGAGUGUAGACAGAAGAGAGUAUCUCUCUAUAUCCCAGGCAUGAGAAAAUCAAAAUAUAGUAUUCUGCUCCAACAGUUUCAGAAAGUGUAUUGCCUCAUCGCAUGCCACAUUCACAGUGACCAUUUGAUGUUUCCGAAGAAAAGUCAUUAUUCACUGAAUAAUUUGUUUUAAGGAUAGGAAACUGAGUACAGUUUUCUAAGGAUUCCAUGCCAAGUGACUGACUUUUCUUAAAGUGUGGUAAUCAAGGAGUAUUCAUCAGUUAUCUGAAAGAUGUCUAUUACCCUAUUUCAUCACAGUGCAAAGUCAAUUAUAUAAAGUGAUGCCAUAAACCAAGAGAACCCUAUUUUCAGGGCAUUGUGGAGGAAUUGGUCAGCUGUUUUAAACUUCUAUAUUCCCUUGCAGUGAUGUGGAUUGUGGGCCUAUCCUCAAGGGAUUCUCCUCCUCCUCCCAACCCUCCAUCUUCUUUCUUUUUUGCUGUGGUCACUGUCUUUUCACUAGUAAGUUAUUUAACAUGCACAUUCCAAAGACAGGUUAAUUGUGGACACAUACAGUGUUUCUGUGAAGAUUACUCUCUAUGUGAUAGGGAAAGUAACAAAACUGAAAAAUACUUUUUCUUUUACCUUUCUCUUUGCACAGUUUGCAAGAGAGCCACUGGUCGGCAACAAGGAUGGUAGUGGAAAAUGAGCUCAUUAACUAUCCAAGGGAGAGUAGGAAGAGAAGUUGGGACCACUCCACCAGCUGGGUAAUUUGAUAUUGUCAUUAGUGACCACAAAUGCUUGCAAUUUAUCAAAAUAGGCUUAAAUAGGAUGAAAGAGGAAGUUCAUGAUCUUGACUAUAUUAAUUAUAUCAAUAACCCAAAGAUGCUUAUUUUUCUUCUAUUCUUUGCAGGCACAUGCAUAAAUAUCAUUUAUCUGUUCUUUAAAAUAAUAUUGGUUCAGGCUAGUAUUUCCUGGAGUAGCUUCAAAGUUGAUGGAAUUUAAAAAAUUAAAAAUUGAAACUACGUGUAAUCUUUUAAUUAUAGAUUAUUUAAAACAGAGUAUUGAACUUGAGUCUUGGUAAGAAAAGCUUAGUAUUUUUCCUUUAUUAAUUAUAAUUUUGAAUCUCUUUCCCUAGUCUUUCUUUGCUUUUUCAAAUGGAAUUUGAUUUGCA